CGGAAGCAAAGUGAAAGUAAACUGAGAACCAGGCACAGCAAUGCUGGGUCCAGGAGAAGGCUGGUCCUCCUGCUUCAGUGGCCUCUCAGAAGGACAAAAGAAGAGUCACAGGAGUUUAAAGAAGGACAGUUUCUGUCUUAGAAAACCAUACAAUACUUGGAGGGAGUUUUCCAACAAGGAUGUUUUUCUACUGAAUUGAUAUCAAAAGGACCAGAGAACUCUAGAAGAGACGAAAGAAAGUGUGUGAGAUUCAGAGGUGUUGGGAGACACCAAAGAAACAAGUCUCUGUAUAUCAACAGGAUUGUUGAACGUAUGAAUUCAGAGAGACUGAGGCAGCAUGACAGAGCCUGCAUGGGGAGUCCUAAAGCCAAAAUGGGAAGUGGACUGAUAUGGGGAGUCCUUCUGUAUAUGUAUUGCCUUUAUUGAUCAAUAAAUAAAGCUGGUUUGGCCAAUGGUCUAGCAAAGUAAAGCCAGGUGAGAAAUAUGAACACAGAUAUAGAAAGAGUAGGCAGAGUCAAAAAGUUGCCAUCUAACUCUCAAA